rnacentral:rRNA from 1 species
AUGAAAUGCUUGGGGAGUUUUCAGAGAUGGGAUGGUGCUGCCAAAGGUGAACAAAUAUUUUUUCCACAGCUUGAGAAACUAUCAGUUCAGCAAUGCCCAAUGUUGAUAGAUUUACCUGAGGUACCAAAAAUCAGUGUGUUAGAAAUUGAAGAUGGCAAGCAAGAGAUCUUCCAUUUUGUGGACAGAUAUUUGUCCUCAUUGACCAAUCUGAUACUGAAGCUAAAAAAUACAGAAACACCGUCAGAGGUUGAGUGCACUUCAAUUCUACAUGUGGACAACAAGGAGAAAUGGAACCAGAAAUCCCCUCUUACAGCUGUGGGGUUAGGAUGCUGCAACUCAUUCUUUGGACCAGGUGCACUAGAGCCGUGGGGCUAUUUUGUACACCUUGAAAACUUGGAAAUUGAUAGAUGUGAUGUGCUCGUCCACUGGCCAGAGAAUGUGUUCCAAAGCUUGGUAUCGUUGAGGACAUUAGUGAUUAGAAACUGCGAAAAUCUGACUGGAUAUGCACAAGCUCCUCUUGAGCCAUUUGCAUCCGAAAGGAGUGAACACCUGAGAGGUCUGGAGUCUCUUUGCAUAGAAAACUGCCCAAGUUUAGUAGAGAUGUUCAACGUCCCGGCAUCUCUCAAGAAAAUGACUAUUGGUGGGUGCAUUAAGCUUGAGUCCAUAUUCGGCAAGCAGCAGGGCAUGGCAGAGUUAGUCCAAGUAUCUUCUAGCAGUGAGGCAGACGUGCCUACAGCUGUAUCAGAGUUGUCAUCCUCACCCAUGAAUCACUUUUGUCCAUGCCUAGAAGAUCUAAGUUUAAGUGGAUGUGGAAGCUUACAAGCGGUUCUAAAUCUGCCUUUGUCCUUAAAGACCAUAUGGAUUGCUAGCUGUAGUAGUAUUCAAGUCCUAUCAUGCCAGCUGGGUGGGCUCCAGAAACCAGAAGCCACUACCUCCAGAAGCAGAAGUCCUAUCAUGCCAGAGCCACUAGCAGCAGCAACAGCACCAGCUGCAAGAGAGCAUUUACUUCCUCCCCAUCUCGAAUCUCUAUCAAUACUGAACUGUGCUGGCAUGUUGGGUGGGACUCUCCGUCUGCCUACACCCCUCAAGAGCCUGCGCAUUAUUGGCAACAGUGGGCUGACAUCACUGGAGUGUCUGUCGGGAGAGCACCCCCCAUCGCUGGAAGUCCUUGAUCUUCUAACCUGCAGUACCCUGGCAUCCCUACCGAAUGAGCCGCAAGUAUACAUGUCUCUCUGGCUUCUUAAAAUUACAGGCUGCCCUGCUAUAAAGAAGCUCCCAAGAUGCCUGCGGCAGCGACUGGGCAGCCUUGACUACAAAGAACUCGAUGCCCAGCAUGAAGUGAUGGCACUUAAACCGAAGACAUGGAAGGAGAUACCAAGGCUGGUGCGUGAACGCAGGAGGCAGGCGGCUCGAGAAGCCAGGGAGCGCCAGCAAUCCGCCAUGCAGGAGUAA